rnacentral:lncRNA from 1 species
AUUUUACUCAUUCAUUUAUUAUAAAAGCAACUAUUUGUAAUCUACAAAAAUAUCUAUUGCACUUGCACCAUUUUCUUCCACAGAAAUAUUAUGUCAACAAAGGAAUGUCUACUAUAUUUCUUGUAUACCAUUUUUUUCUGUAAAAAGUACUCAGCAUUCAAUUAUUUGUUCAUUAGGAUUGAGGAAAAUUUGUGCUUUCAUGGAUAAUCGAUUAAUGAAAUUUGGCCAAAGACUGCAUUGAAGACCAUAGAAAAUUUAAACUGCAAAUAUUUAUAUUUGUAGUUCACCUAAACCAAUGAUAUAGAAAUGAUAACUGGCACAUGCUGAUUUACAAUUUGACUUUUGACUUUGGAAUUUAAAAUGGCUGCCUUUACAAUGGAAACAGCAUAAAUGUAAAAAAUUUAAAAAUGCUCCAAACCUCAUGAAACGUUGUAAACAUGAAACAGCAUGUGUAGAUGCUCUUUUUGACUUUUGAAUUUUCGUUACCCUGGAAAUAAGGAAAAUCCAUCUGUUAUUGCUAGUAAGUACAAAUAUAGUUAUGUUUGUAAUUCAAUUAAACCAAUAAUAUCCAACAAUUAACAGUCAUCAACCUUCUAACAAUUUUGGUUCUUAUAUUCUUAAAAUAAACUACAGAUAUGUAAAUAUAAGGUAUUUGAGUUAACAGAAAAAAAUUAGUAUUGGUUUACUUGAGUUUUAAAAAAAAGAUAUACAAUAAAAAAUGAUUAAAUAUCUAAACUUUAACAAUUAAAAAGUA